GGGACACGUGGUAUCCUGUCUGAAUAUGGGGGGACCAUCCUCCAAGGCUAAAUACUCCUGACUGACCGAUAGUGAACCAGUACCGUGAGGGAAAGGCGAAAAGAACCCCGGCGAGGGGAGUGAAAAAGAACCUGAAACCGUGUACGUACAAGCAGUGGGAGCACAGGUUUACCUGUGUGACUGCGUACCUUUUGUAUAAUGGGUCAGCGACUUAUAUUCUGUAGCAAGGUUAACCGUAUAGGGGAGCCGGAGGGAAACCGAGUCUUAAUUGGGCGUUAAGUUGCAGGGUAUAGACCCGAAACCCGGUGAUCUAGCCAUGGGCAGGUUGAAGGUUGGGUAACACUAACUGGAGGACCGAACCGACUAAUGUUGAAAAAUUAGCGGAUGACCUGUGGCUGGGGGUGAAAGGCCAAUCAAACCGGGAGAUAGCUGGUUCUCCCCGAAAGCUAUUUAGGUAGCGCCUCGUGAAUUCAUCUCCGGGGGUAGAGCACUGUUUCGGCUAGGGGGCCAUCCCGGCUUACCAACCCGAUGCAAACUGCGAAUACCGGAGAAUGUUAUCACGGGAGACACACGGCGGGUGCUAACGUCCGUCGUGAAGAGGGAAACAACCCAGACCGCCAGCUAAGGUCCCAAAGUCAUGGUUAAGUGGGAAACGAUGUGGGAAGGCCCAGACAGCCAGGAUGUUGGCUUAGAAGCAGCCAUCAUUUAAAGAAAGCGUAAUAGCUCACUGGUCGAGUCGGCCUGCGCGGAAGAUGUAACGGGGCUAAACCAUGCACCGAAGCUGCGGCAGCGACACUGUGUGUUGUUGGGUAGGGGAGCGUUCUGUAAGCCUGUGAAGGUGUGUCGUGAGGCAUGCUGGAGGUAUCAGAAGUGCGAAUGCUGACAUAAGUAACGAUAAAGCGGGUGAAAAGCCCGCUCGCCGGAAGACCAAGGGUUCCUGUCCAACGUUAAUCGGGGCAGGGUGAGUCGACCCCUAAGGCGAGGCCGAAAGGCGUAGUCGAUGGGAAACGGGUUAAUAUUCCCGUACUUGGUGUUACUGCGAAGGGGGGACGGAGAAGGCUAUGUUGGCCGGGCGACGGUUGUCCCGGUUUAAGCGUGUAGGUGUGUGUUCCAGGUAAAUCCGGUUCACUUUAACACUGAGGCGUGACGACGAGGCACUACGGUGCUGAAGCAACAAAUGCCCUGCUUCCAGGAAAAGCCUCUAAGCAUCAGGUAACAUCAAAUCGUACCCCAAACCGACACAGGUGGUCAGGUAGAGAAUACCAAGGCGCUUGAGAGAACUCGGGUGAAGGAACUAGGCAAAAUGGUGCCGUAACUUCGGGAGAAGGCACGCUGACACGUAGGUGAAGUGAUUUACUCAUGGAGCUGAAGUCAGUCGAAGAUACCAGCUGGCUGCAACUGUUUAUUAAAAACACAGCACUGUGCAAACACGAAAGUGGACGUAUACGGUGUGACGCCUGCCCGGUGCCGGAAGGUUAAUUGAUGGGGUCAGCGCAAGCGAAGCUCCUGAUCGAAGCCCCGGUAAACGGCGGCCGUAACUAUAACGGUCCUAAGGUAGCGAAAUUCCUUGUCGGGUAAGUUCCGACCUGCACGAAUGGCGUAAUGAUGGCCAGGCUGUCUCCACCCGAGACUCAGUGAAAUUGAACUCGCUGUGAAGAUGCAGUGUACCCGCGGCAAGACGGAAAGACCCCGUGAACCUUUACUAUAGCUUGACACUGAACAUUGAGCCUUGAUGUGUAGGAUAGGUGGGAGGCUUUGAAGUGUGGACGCCAGUCUGCAUGGAGCCGACCUUGAAAUACCACCCUUUAAUGUUUGAUGUUCUAACGUGGACCCGUAAUCCGGGUUGCGGACAGUGUCUGGUGGGUAGUUUGACUGGGGCGGUCUCCUCCUAAAGAGUAACGGAGGAGCACGAAGGUUGGCUAAUCCUGGUCGGACAUCAGGAGGUUAGUGCAAUGGCAUAAGCCAGCUUGACUGCGAGCGUGACGGCGCGAGCAGGUGCGAAAGCAGGUCAUAGUGAUCCGGUGGUUCUGAAUGGAAGGGCCAUCGCUCAACGGAUAAAAGGUACUCCGGGGAUAACAGGCUGAUACCGCCCAAGAGUUCAUAUCGACGGCGGUGUUUGGCACCUCGAUGUCGGCUCAUCACAUCCUGGGGCUGAAGUAGGUCCCAAGGGUAUGGCUGUUCGCCAUUUAAAGUGGUACGCGAGCUGGGUUUAGAACGUCGUGAGACAGUUCGGUCCCUAUCUGCCGUGGGCGCUGGAGAACUGAGGGGGGCUGCUCCUAGUACGAGAGGACCGGAGUGGACGCAUCACUGGUGUUCGGGUUGUCAUGCCAAUGGCACUGCCCGGUAGCUAAAUGCGGAAGAGAUAAGUGCUGAAAGCAUCUAAGCACGAAACUUGCCCCGAGAUGAGU
rnacentral:rRNA from 1 species